GCGACAAGCGGUGGAGUAUGUGGUUUAAUUCGAUGCAACGCGAAGAACCUUACCUGGUCUUGACAUCCCGGAGACCCUUAGGAAACUAGGGGUGCUUCCAUCUGGAAGAAUCUGGAGACAGGUGCUGCAUGGCUGUCGUCAGCUCGUGUCGUGAGAUGUUGGGUUAAGUCCCGCAACGAGCGCAACCCUUGCCUUUAGUUGCCAGCAGUUCGGCUGGGCACUCUAAAGGGACUGCCGGUGUUAAACCGGAGGAAGGUGGGGAUGACGUCAAGUCCUCAUGGCCUUUAUGACCAGGGCUACACACGUACUACAAUGGCCGAUACAAAGGGCAGCGACACUGCGAGGUGAAGCCAAUCCCGUAAAAUCGGUCUCAGUCCGGAUUGGAGUCUGCAACUCGACUCCAUGAAGUUGGAAUCGCUAGUAAUCGUGGAUCAGCAUGCCACGGUGAAUACGUUCCCGGGCCUU
rnacentral:rRNA from 1 species